AGUUCCGCCUCCCUCUUAUUCUCUCAGAUUUCAGCCUCUCACCACUUCACCAUUCACAAAUUCACCAUUUCACCAUUUCACCAUCCUUGUCUCUCUCAUCCUUUCUGUCUCCGGUCUCCAUUGCUUCUCACAAUUUCACCACUCACCCCUCUCACUCUCUCAACCUCUCCGUUUCCGGCCUCCGUUGGCCGCCCUCUCACAGUAUCCCCAUUCACCGGUCACCUCUGAGUAUCUGACCUCUUAGGUUCUCACAAUCUCUCGUCUUUGAGUCACAUGUGCCCUCUCAAGCCUCAAGCCUCAAGAAAUCUUAGUUAGUCAGAUAUGCCGCAUGCGUGGCAUACAACAAGAUCUGGGAAGUUCUAUGAAAAUCCGGUAGGGGUUGCAUUGUGAUUGAUGGUUCUUUUGAAUUUCUAUUUGCAGUGAUGAUAGAAUAGAAAUUUGCAAAUUAGUGGUGCAUUGGUGGGAUCAAAUGCUGCAGUAGACAAUUAAAAGCCUAGAAAAACUAAACCUGCAUUUGAUUUUGUUGCUCCCAAAGCUAAUUAAUGUGUGACUUAAAGUCUUAUACAGCUCCCAAAGCUAAUUAAUCUGUGACUUAAAGUGUUAUACAGCUAGACGCACAGUCCAUAGUGGCUAUAUAUUGGGAACAACGAUAUUGGCUAUA